CUCUCCAACAGUUUCAUGUCCUUUUUAUACUGUGGUGCCCAGAACUGCACACAGUACUCCUAUUUCUUCUUGCUUGAUUACACAGAUGUUAGUGAUUAGACAACUACAAUACAAUACUGGAAAUGUAACACAAUGAUUUUUUUUUUCCCGUUUGACACCUUGAAACAAAAAAAAUUCUUUGCACAACACCUUGUAUGUGGUGUUUCUAGGAAAGACUUGUAGGCUGUGAAAGUUCAACAAGGCUCCCUGUAUGCCCCCACACAGGUGUGGUAUAGUUUUUAUAGUUCUGCUUUUGAGGAAAGGAAAAAAAACAAACAUCUUUGCAUACCUGAGUGCUUCUCAACAAUGCUAACAACUCUUCUGCCUUUUGAUGAGUUAUUGGUAUACAUCUUAAGUUUGUUCCUUAUGCACAGGGUGCCUCUUCCUUUCUAAAAGUGCCCAGAAGAAAGCUCAAAACAUGUUUUAGUAAUUUUAACAGCAUUGCUUUGUUACCUAAGAGAAGGUGAAGAGUUGAACAGGAUCGUAAAUUGGAAAAGAAAGUGAAUAAAGGGACGUGUUUCUGAAAUUUCAGAUAAAAUCUCUCAUCUUUUGCUGUUGUGAAGGGCAGCCUUUCUUGGGGAAAGUAUGAUUAGUGGCAGGUAACCAAGUUAAGCUCUUUAAAGGCCAGUAAAUGUGUAUGAUAAAGGAAUAGUUUCGUUUCAAGGAUAUAGUCUUUUCUUACAGAACUUCCCUUUCUUUCCCAAUAAGAAAACACCCGUGUUUUGAAAGCUUCAUUUUCUGGCUGUGAUGCUGUGUAUAGCAUGAGAUCUAAUAAGAUGAAUCUUCAUUUCAUAGUUGAUGUGGUGUAUUGGUGGCUCCAGCAGGAAUACAAAGAAAAAAGCAGGUAUGAAUUGAACGAGGUUUUCUUCUUUCCAAAUUUAUGAAGAGAUCUUGAAGUGCAGAGUGAAAGUUUAAUAAACAACAAAAAAAAGUGUUCUGCCUCCAGAUUUUUCUUGUGCCUGCAGCAGAGAGCCUGGCUUCUUACCACUCGAAAAUACCAGAUUGACAAAUACCAAGUGUUAUUUCCUGACCAGGGCUGGAGCCUGGCUGGCUUGCGUAAACUGUGAUUUUACCCAUUGCAGUUGUGAAAUUAGGCAGUUAAGACGAGCUUUCUGCAUAUUAACGAGAGAGAUGGCCUACUUCGGCAGCGCUUGGGCUUUCCCUGUACUAGAAGGAAUUUUUACCGAAGCUGGCGUGUACUGCUGAUCUUGAUCUGUAAAUAAAAGGAGAGAGGAAUAAAUACUCCAAGGCGAGAACAGUCUGCCGGACGCUUUCAUAGUUGCUGGGAUAUAAAUAACGGCAGGCUGUAAUGCUCUUGGAAUCCAUUUGAAGUCCGAGGCUUUGCCAACUGAAAAUGCCCUGCCUUGGGAGCAGCUACGCGGGCACCCAUGGGUACCUCUGGAGAUCCAGAGCUGUGCAGUGGUUUGUUACCCUGCUCGGACACGUUGAAUUGGGAGUUCCUUCCUCUGUCCCUGCCUGUGAGAAUAAAACUUAAAUUGCAUGUGA